rnacentral:rRNA from 1 species
AUUGAACGCUGGCGGCAGGCCUAACACAUGCAAGUCGAACGAGUGGCGGACGGGUGAGUAAUGUCUGGGAAACUGCCCGAUGGAGGGGGAUAACUACUGGAAACGGUAGCUAAUACCGCAUACCAUCGGAUGUGCCCAGAUGGGAUUAGCUAGUAGGUGGGGUAACGGCUCACCUAGGCGACGAUCCCUAGCUGGUCUGAGAGGAUGACCAGCCACCCUGGAACUGCGACCCGGUCCCGACUCCUACGGGAGGCAGCCGUGGGGAAUAUUGCACAAUGGGCGCAAGCCUUAUGCAGCCCUGCCGCGUGUAUUAAGAAGGCCUUCGGGUUUUAAAGUUCUUUCAGCGAGGAGGCGUUACUCGCAGAAGAAGCACCGGCUAACUCCGUGCCAGCAGCCGCGGUAAUUC